rnacentral:rRNA from 1 species
GACGUAGGGGGCAAGCGUUGUCCGGAAUUACUGGGCGUAAAGCGUGCGUAGACGGUAGCGUAAGUCGGGUGUGAAAGCCCCGGGCUCAACCUGGGAAUUGCAUUCGAGACUGCUCUGCUAGGGUGCGGAAGAGGGAAGCGGAAUUUCCGGUGUAGCGGUGAAAUGCGUAGAUAUCGGAAGGAACACCAGUGGCGAAAGCGGCUUCCUGGUCCAGCACCGACGUUCAGGCACGAAAGCGUGGGGAGCAAACAGG